GAUGAAGAACGUAGUGAAAUGCGAUAGGUAGUGUGAAUUGCAGAUGUAACGUGAAUCAUCGAAUCUUUGAACGCAAAUUGCAUUCCCUGGUAUUCCGGGGAGUAUGCCUGUUUGAGGGUCGCCAAAUACACAUCGAUUAACAUUGCUUUUGAAGUAAAUGUUUAUCGGAUUUGAGCUUUCUUUAUUCUUAAAAUGACAAGGAUAAAGUGGUUUAAAAUUUAUUUUUUUUUGGUAUCAAGCGUAUUUUACAAUCAAUUUUUGAUUAAAAAAGAACGUUUCGAAUGCCAUCCUUUUAAUGUAAUACGUUUGACUAUAUGUAAUAAAUAUGUAGUUCAUUCGCAUACGAUUCAUAAAUUUUUUUUUUUGACCUCAAAUCAGGUAAGAGUACCCGCUGAACUUAAGCAUAUCAAUAAGCGGAGGA
rnacentral:misc_RNA from 1 species